GUGCAUGGGAUUUAUUCACAUUCCCGAGCAAGCACUCAGGGAAGGGGACAAUAGUAGUGCCCCACCAUGGAUACCCAGCACUGUUUACAUAGUCUGUGGGGGAGGGACUCGGUCCUCACUGGCAACAGCUGCAUUUCUCCGCCUCUGCCUUGGCCCCCUCUUCACCUUUGCACACACAGUCCUUGGCACACUUCUCACAUCCUGCAGGGCAGCAGGAGCAGCAGCCUGUAGAUAAAAUAGGGUGGGGAUGGGGGAGUGUGUGUGUCCAGUCUGAUGCCCUUGUCUGUCUCCAUCGAAGGGGAGGAGAAAGGAGUUUGGAAGCUGGGGAGUCACCAGGCUUUGGCCAGCACAGGAUGACUGUCCCUUUCAUACUGUCAUAUGAGGUCUGACAGCAUCUGGGGUGUUGCAGUUGCUUCUCUAGAGUCCCAGCUCCUUGGGUGGGUGCUAGGGAAUCCCCUGGGAAUGCUGGGCUCAGGGAGAGGUGGGUCUUAAGGAGAAGGCAGGAGACUUGCCCCAUAAGGCUGGAGGGUCAGGGACAUCCAUGGGAUUCUUGCCUAGUCACACCCAAGAGAAGGGAGCUUUGCUCCCACCUCUGCCCCUCCCCCAAGCAUAUUCCAUUGCUGUGAGCUGGAGAGGGCAAAUUGAGGAGACCCACAAGGCCUGAGAGGGGCCAAAGAACUGCAAGUCUAGAGCUGACCCCCGGUCUUUCUUGGGGCUCCCCAGGCACUGGAAACCUUGACGAGUGGGGCUGGAGCCGGGGCUUAGCUCUGGUCAGCUACCUUUUGAUGUGUCCCGGAAAUUCAUGAAAAUAUCCCCUCCCACACACUCCGGCCUGAGUUAACAGCGGUUGAUACAGCCGCUGCUGUAUCUGAAGAAUUCUCUUAUCAGUUUGGUCCACAUGGGAUGCUGAGGUGGGAGCAGAAAGAAAUCUUUCUUAGUGAGCCUGCCACUGACCAUAGCAGCAGCAGCAGCAGCAGCAGCAGCAGCAGCAGCAGCAGCAGCCGCCGCCGCCGCCGCUCUCAAGUUGGCUCAAGAAGGACGGAGUGUGGAGGCCUGCAGCUUGGUGGGAAGACACGAUGCCUCUCCUGACACAGCAUUUCCUACACAACCCUUCCUCAGGACCCUGAACACCUCCUUCGCCCAGACACCCCCUAGGGACCACCGCUUCUCUUUAGAGGUGGUUGGACACUGCUUCUCUUUGUUGUUGAGACAGGGUCUUAGCCCAGCCUAGUCUCGAACUUGUUUUGCAGCUGAGGAAGACUUUACACUGUAAUCCUGCGAUCAAAGGCAUGCACCACCAACCCUGGCUUUAGUUUUAGUUUUUUGAGACAGUGGGUGUGCUGUGUAGGAGGACCUUGAGCUCUUGAUUCUCUCAUAACCCAGGUGGCCAUCUAGAACUCAGGAUUCUCCUGCCUCAGUCUCCUGAGUGCUGGGAUAAUGAGCACACAACAGCAAUUUGGCCUCAGACUUCAGUUUUGAUGAUGAUGAUGAUGAUGAUGAUGAUGAUGUGUGUGUGUGUAUGCAUGUUUUACUCAUCCAUUACUCAGCCUUGCUCUAAUUGUCCAUCAGACAAAUCUGAGCCUCUCUUCCUAAUCUGAGCUGGACAGUGGCCUUCAAAUGGCUUGGCCUAGGGCAGUUGUGUGUUGAGCUAUGUGCCUGAGCACAGGCACACAUAGACCAGAGGAGGAUAUUGGUACCCUCUAUCACUUUUUGCCUUACUGCCUGGAGAUGGAGUUUCUCACUGAACUGGAAGCUUGCCAGUUCAGCUAGGCUGGCAGGCUGGGGGUUCCCAAGAUCCGCCCAUCUCUGCCCACCAGUGUUGGGGUAAUAAGCAUAUGCAAUCAUGCCUGACUUUGACUCAGGUGCCAAAGAUCCGAACUCAGGUCCUGGAGCUUGCAUAGCAGGUGCAUUUACCAACUGGGCUGUUUCCUUAGUCAUCUAGGGUCUUCCUUUGUCGGGCCAAUAUAUGUUGGUCCUUGAGUCCUAAUCCUGACACUCUGGAAUGAUAGUCUGUGCCUGUGGUCCCUUUUCUGUGAUCAUUGUCUCCCCCCAUCCCACCUCCUACCCCCAGAUUCCCUCCCUCCUUCUUACCCCUUCUCCCUCCUUUUCUUUCAAGACAGGGUCUCACUGUGCACACUGUGCAGCAUGCACUGAACUUGCAGUAGUACUCUUGGGCCACCCCCGGGUGUUGGAACUGCAGGCAUGUGUCCCCAGGCCGGGCUCUGCUUCAGGUUUCACUCACCCGUACUUUCUCCGUGAGAAGCACCAGUCACUAUCAGCCUUUCAUUUCCUCUUUCUGUCACAGGUUCUGUGUUCCUAGGCUUGUUCCUCUCUCAUAGGCUGACCUGUGAACUGAGACCCUCCUGGCUCAGCUUCCAGAGCCCUGGGAUUACGUGCAAUUACAUCUAUUUUCUGAGCAGACUGCUCCAUGCGUGUCUCUGUGUGGGGAGCACUUGUGUGACCACGCGCAUGGAGGCCAGAGGUGGACUUCAGAUGUCUUCCUCUCCAUUGCUCUCUCCUGGAACCUGGAGCGGAUUGAUUCAGCAAGACUUGCUAGCCCACAAGCCUCAGGGUCCUUCUGUCUCCACCUCCUCAAGGCUGAAAUGACAGGGACAUACUGUCACCUUUAGCUUCUGAAUGUGGGUGCUUGGGAUUGAACACAGGCACUUUAUGCUUGUGUGGAAAACACUUUACCAAAUUGAGCCAUCUUCCCAGCCCUGUGCAGCGUCUUUUAAAUUCUUUGUUUUGGGUCUUGUCUCACAGUGCUGGAAAUUAUAUCCAGAACUGCAUACCAUGUAUGAAGCUACUGAGGUGUACACACCUCCAGCCUACUUAGGAUUAGAACACACAUCUCAACCACCAAUACUAACUCACUGCUUUGCUCUAUUUUUCCUUUCUUCAUAGCAUUUAACACCUUUUUACAAAUAUAUUGCUCACUUGUGAGUAAUGUUUCAAGUUCUCUGUCCCUCCCCAUAAUCCCAACCUACACAGGUAACAGCAGCCACUGAUGUGCCAAAUUUCCAUCCACUGUGUACACCUGUGCCUGGUACACAGUCCCAUCCAGAACACAGUUAAUAAAUGAAUGACCUUUCAUAA